AUUAAGGAUAUGUAAUGCAGAGCCUGCGUUUAAAAAAAAAAAGAAAAAAAAAAGAUUUAAAAUUUCCUCUGCAAAACUAGUGUAGAAAAACUAGACAUUGAAAACAACUGAACUUUUAAAUACAGACACAGCAGUUGAGACUAGCUACAGAAGGCCACUGCAUCAAAAAAUCUAAAAGACAGUGCAUCUCAGAUACUGUGGACUGGAUGGAGAAGUUGCUAGCGAGACUCAGAGCAGGUGUUGAGAUGUUCAGCACAUUGAGAAAGCACUUGAGAAGAGCUGUUGCUCCGGUGUGACCCAGUUCUAUUUAAGCAAAACUGCCAAUUAGGAGCAGUAAAACACUAUGUAGACAUCCUAAUCAAGAUGGGCACUGGACACUGUGCAGUAAAAUACAGGAUUUUAAAUCACACAUUUUUUAACCAUCUCAAGAAUGAACUAAGGAACUUUUUCUGAUGAUCGCAGGGACUCACCUGGGAAAAAACUUCUGGCCUGGAAAAUAAACACGAUGAGAUUGGUAGAUUCUCUUUGAUUCUCUCAGCCUGAAUCUUUUCAUUAAUCAAUAAAUGUGCUGAGCAGAUGC
ensembl:lncRNA